CGCUUGUUGGCCUUGGACGUUAUCGCGUACGUGCAGAGACGGAUUUGAUGUGCACCUUUCUGGGGAGAGAGACACAGCGAGAGAGGGAACACAAGCAGGCGGAGUGGGAGAGGGAGAAGCAGGCUUCCCGCCGAGCAGGGAGCCCGAUGCAGGGGCUUGAUCCCAGGACCCUCGGAUCAUGACCUGAGCUAAAGGCAGACGCUUAACCACUGAGCCAUCCAGUCAAAAUAAUGAAGAAGAGGAGGAAGACAGGCCGAUGCUAGAAAUCUGAAAUCCACUCCUCCUCCUCCCCAAGUACAGGCACCAGAACCGAUGCCCAACCCACUGGCUUCCGGAGGGCUGAAAAGCCACCACAGACAAAGCCUAUUAAGCAGAAGGAGAUGAAGAAAGGGGCGGAGGCGGAGGCGGAGGCGGAGGCGGAGGCGGAGGCGGAGGCGGAGGCGGA